UCUCUCUCAUCUUUCUUCAUACACAUCCCACCGCUCCGUUCGUUCCUAGCCCAAUCCUCCACCAACCGAAACCCGGAUUCAGUCGAUGCGAGAAGCGAGCGGAGGUAGUGCACGACAUUCCUCCGCGGCGAGGUUAAAUGGAGGAGCAUGGUUAUUGAGGCGGACGGUUGGGCCAAGCUCGCAGACUCCGGCUGUGCGAGGCCCGUUGAUUCGGCGGGCUCGGGGCACGCCGCCGUUCAUGGCGUUCAAGGAGGCGCGCGGGCAGGACCAGGACGACCCCAUCGAGUUUUGAUUUCACGGCCCGCCAUCCGGCGAGAAGGUUCCUCGCGUCCGCGGCGGGGGCGCCCCUCCGCCGGCUUCUAUCCCUCCUCUUGACCCAAUGGGUCCAGGCCAGGCACUCCCACCACCCCAACUGAUCUAGCUCCCAUGGACCCUGGCUAUGCGAGGACCUUGGAUUUGACGGAAAGAAAAAUCAUCUGGAGAAACACAUCAUAACCGAGUUAAUCCUCACAUACCAAGUGGUCCAGCGAUGUAUUCCCCCACUGCGUUCAGCCAGACGACCGCCGCUGCGCCUACAACAGUUAUUGCAUCUCUGCCAUGCGCUAGACAGGCCGCUGGUGGUGGUUGCCAGAAUGAGUUAGGGCAGGGGCAUGAGACUCCUUAACCCGGCAACUUGGCUAUACCGUUUGGUGUUCAUCACUCUGUCCAGGAUGCUAUCGCCACCAUGGAUUCAUGCACAGGUGCAGAGCGGCCUUGCAGCGGUGGGAAACGCCCCUCCUUUGUAUCACCACCUAAGAAGGUGAGCUGAUUAAAUUGAUUUCCUCCAUAGGAUGAAGAUACCCUAUUUUGCAUUGUUUACUUGUUUGUGGUUUGUGCAUACUGCUCUUCAGCUCUAAAUUGUUGUUUGAUAGAGCUCUGAAAUUGUUUAGGCGUAGAAUUUUGGGCGCUUUUUUCUGUUGGUUGAGUUCUUGAAAUGAAUGGGGAUGCCAGUUUAGAGUUGCAGCCCUUCAUGUUUUCUGUCAGUGGGAGCACCUGGGAUUAUAUAAGCGAACAUAUGAUGUUUGCAUUUUCGUUCAGCUAUGUAAUCACCAGUUGAUAUGAUUAAUUGGUACUACGACAACCAAUGAAAAUUAAGGAAGUUUGAGAUAUGAAAUAUGGGUGUUGAAUUUGAGAAUAAUCUUACUGGUCCAUUCCUGUGCCACUACCUUUGUUCAGUUAUGUGGUCAUGAAAUUAUUAUGAGCUGCCAUUUAAGAAAAAAGAUAUAUUGUCGCCACUUAAUAGUUUCUAUUGAAGAAUUCUAAAAACUUCUUUCUGGUCAACGCAGUGAACGGAAUGAUGUGCUUUCACUCUCACAUUUUCUAUUUAAAUUUGUGCCAAUUAACCCUUUAAAUUAUUGUUGUUUCAAUAGUUUGGAGGAAUAAGAGUUCUCUAGGCAUCUCACCCAUUGGUAAAAUUAUUAAUCCAUGACUGCACUUACUCGGUGAACUUGCAGGGCCAUAGUUUGGAGGAAUAAGAGUUCUCUAGACAUCUCACCCAUUGGUAAAAUUAUUAAUCCAUGACUGCACUUACUCGGUAAACUUGCAGGGCCAUAGUUUGGAGGAAUAAGAGUUCUCUAGACAUCUCACCCAUUGGUAAAAUUAUUAAUCCAUGACUGCAGUUGCUUGGUAAACUUGCAGAGCCAAAGUUUCGACUCUUCAAACCGUACUUGUUUAUCCCUCACUGGAAAAUUUCAUGGCUUAAUAUAUAUGCUUUUAGUAGCUGUUCUCCUUCUCCCUCACUCAAUUUUUAGUUUGUUUUUUCCAUUAACCUCCCAUAGCUACUAUUUCUUAAAUGCUGCCAUUCUAUAAAUAUGGCACUACAUUCAUGUAUCUAUGACAGAUAAAGAUUCUAAAUUUAUAGUGCUCUGCAUUACAGGAAAUCCAAAUAUAGCAUAAACUACUAUUAACUAGCUACAAAAUCAUUAGAACAUACUUAGUUUUUUGUGUUGGACUGUUGGUAUCAGUGAGCACGCUAAUUCUCUUCGUUUGGUCUUAUUGUCUUACCUGCAUCACCAUCUAUUGCUUUCUAGAUGUAGAGUGGAGCUUCUGUAAUGCUUAUUUUAAACAUGCAUUUCAUUGUGUUGUCGCUCUGUAACAGUUCAGGUAUUAAGCAUUGCUAAUAUUUUUUUAUUUAUUCAUUAACAUGGUUCAGACUCCAGAUAUGGAAGAGUGAUGCCGGUCUGCUAUGAUUCUGACUCUUUUGAUUGGCUGGUUCCAUUAUAAUUGGGUCCAUAGGUUUCUUUACUUUUGGAGGCAUACCGAUACAUGUAGAAUGAUGCUGGUUGUCUAUGGAUUUGAUUAUUCUCAUUGGCUGGUUUUAUCUGACUGGAUCCAUAUGCACCGACAUACGAAGUGCAGCUACGGUCCUCGGAGUGGUAAGGAGUACUAGAUUUAGAGUUUUAUUUGUUAUUAGGAAUUUGUUCUUAUAAUAAAGAAAUGGAGUUGGAUGUGUCUCCAAAGUGUGUAUCCAUUAGUGAUUUAUGCAAACAUGAUUAUAUACUUGCUUCGGACUGCAGUUAUGGUGAAAAGUUUAGAGAGGCCUUCUACUGAACACUAGAGCAUUUUUAUUUUAAAUCAGGUCAUUCUUUACCUUGAAUGGAAGUCUUCUUAUUUAGUUUCGUGAUAUAACAUACUAUCUUUUGCCAUAUGCAGUCAUUCUGAUUAUAAUUUCCCCCUCUAAAGCAUACAAAUAUGUAUCUUUUCAUUAUGCAACCAUUUGUUGUGUGUGUUCCAUAAUACAAAAUUCAAUCAAUAUGUGCUGUGAUGAUUCAAUAAGAAAGUGAGCUGAAUUUGCGUUUUAAGGUAUUCCCCCAUUAUUGUGUUCUUACUACUGUUUCCUUUAAUCAAGUGCUUGCAAAGGAAUUGAUACUUUUCUCCGACUCCUACUUUCUAGGUACCUACAACGAAUCUUGCGAGUAAAUACUAAACGCAUCAUAUUCUUUUUAUAUUAUUUUAGAACCAUAUAUUUCUUUGGGAAAUUAAUAUGGAAAUGAAAAGUAAGUUGGACUUAUUUAGCUGUGUUCGACCAUGCUGAAACUCUUCUACUUUCUAGGUUUUCUGUGGGUUACCUCUUAGGUAGAAACUGCCGAUGUAAGACACUAGAUCAUUCGGAUAGGUAUUGUAGAUAUAGAUUUAAUUUUGUAAUAACAUAAUUAAUCUUCUAUUUGCGCACUAAGAGUUUGAUUUGUCCAGGAAGAUUAAAAAUGGACAUGGGCAAUCUCUCAAGUAUUUUAGUAUGAUAGAAAAUAUAGGGAGUAAGUAAUGUGUUCUCAAAUGAAUCAUCUUCCUGCUCAAGUCCACGUGCCAGGAAUAUAUAUAGCUUGGAGUUUUGUAGCUAAUGACAAGAGGAUGACACAUAGUCUCAGUACUGAAAUACACCAUUCACUUACAUGGGCUACACUGGAAAAUAUUUUGAAAUGGGUUAGCAGUUAUUAUGCGCAACCUAGGCAUGGUUAGAAUCUCUUCAUCAUUUGAUUUUCUAUUUAAAAUGUUGAUAUGUGAUUUGAUUCAAAAGGAACCUUCUGGUUUAUAUUGUUUCACUAUCUACCUUAGUUUUUGUCUGAAAGAGCUUCGUUUCUGAGUUUCAGUCAAGUUGAUCAGUACUCGGCUUGAGAGAUGAGCUACGUCAAAUUCGUUCGCACCUCCCUGUACCAAGCGAGCUGAUGAGAAGGGUGCCAACAGACGCGAGCGAAAAUCCUUAUUCUUUGUUCUCUACUCCUUAUUAUACACAUAGCAUUUAUGAUUUAUAAGGUUUGUCAAUGUUUAGAGUUGCUUUGUCCUCACUUGCUUAUUCAUCUCUGCACUGAAAUUACCAAGCAGAAAUUGUAUUAUCACUUUUCUAGAGACGGAGGCCACCAAAAUUGUUAAGAAGGUUCCUCUUUUUGUCAAACAGUUCAACUAGAGGAAACUUGGGAAAAUAGUUAGUGUCUCACAACUGCUAGGUUGUUGUGUGCUGACAGUCCUGAAUCACUUAAUGUAAUACGUUUUACUGAAUAUGUGUAGUACCUCGCAGGUGCUAGGCUAUUGUACUGAAUAUUUGUAGCACCUGACAAGUGCUGGGCUGUUGUCUAUUGAAAGUUCUGAAUCUCUUGAUGCAAUAUGGUUUACUGACUAUUUGUUACUACAAACAAA